CCCCUCUCAGGGUCGCACCUGGAGAGUUUCCAGUAGUCUACCAGUCUCGGCUACGGGAGGGAGAGUCAAACAGAGGCCUGUCCGUUCCAUUCCUAGCUUGGCCAGUGGCUAGCGAGUGGAAGGCAACGGGCUACAAGU
rnacentral:snoRNA from 1 species